GACGUAGGGCGCGAGCGUUGUCCGGAAUUAUUGGGCGUAAAGAGCUCGUAGGCGGUUUGUUGCGUCGGCUGUGAAAUCCCGAGGCUCAACCUCGGGUCUGCAGUCGAUACGAGCAAACUAGAGUGUUGCAGGGGAGACUGGAAUUCCUGGUGUAGCGGUGAAAUGCGCAGAUAUCAGGAGGAACACCGGUGGCGAAGGCGGGUCUCUGGGCCGAUAUUGACGCUGAGGAGCGAAAGCGUGGGGAGCAAACAGG
rnacentral:rRNA from 1 species